rnacentral:rRNA from 1 species
CACGUAGGGGCGAGCGUUGUCCGGAAUUACUGGGCGUAAAGGGCGCGCAGGCUGUUAUGCGAGUCUGCUGUGAAAUGUACCGGCUCAACCGGUGCCUUGCGGCGGAUACUGCAUAGCUGGAGUGCUGUAGAGGCAAGUGGAAUUCCCAGUGUAGCGGUGAAAUGCGUAGAUAUUGGGAAGAACACCGGUGGCGAAGGCGACUUGCUGGGCAGCAACUGACGCUGAGGCGCGAAAGCCAGGGGAGCAAACGGGAUUA